AUUUGAUAGGAAUUGGAAUGAUUUUCUGUUGAAGUAUGGUCUUCUGGACAACAAGUGGCUUUUAGAGCUAUACGAAGACUGUCAUAUAUGGAUUCCAAUUUAUCUGGAUCACCACUUUUGGGCCGGGAUGAGAAACACAUAAAGGAGCAAGAGCAUGCAUGCAUUUUUAAACAAGUUCAUUACCCGGAACAACUCACUUAUCCAAUUCGUCAAACAAUAUGAUAAUUGCCUCGGAAGCAGGGAGCAAAGAGAGAGAGAAUUGGAUGCUGCAGAUUUUUACACUGUCAUACCUUGUGCAAUAAAAUCUUCCAUAGAAGCUCAGUUUCAACAUGUGUACACUCACCAAAAGUUUAGGAAAGUCCAAGCACAAUUUAGAGGAAAGAUGAAUUGCAUCACAAGGUUAACGAACUCUGCUUUAGGCUAUUCAGUAUACGAAGUUGCUGAACAAGUUUCUAGCUCAACAUUCAAUAAGUUUACAAUUACGUAUGACUUGGUAGCAGCCCAAGUGAAAUGCCAGUGCUUAUUAUUCGAGUCAAGAGGGAUAUUGUGCUGUCAAUCCUUAAGCGUGUUGAGCUUUGAACGAGUAACCAAAGUG